UGGAAUUAUACAAGACGGCAAAUCUGUUCGUAAAUAAUUCUCAGAAUGAUGUAAAGUUUGGACGGGAGUUUCCUUUACUUCUAAUUUUUUAUGAAAUAAUUCAAAGUGACUGAAAAUUUUAUUACCGGAGUAUCUGGUAUGGGAUCAUUUCCAAAUUGACUGACAGCAUCGACAAUUUCAAUUACGAAAAAACUAAAAUUUACAAUUCCCAAAAGGGUUAAAUUUCCAUAAUCGAGAACCCAGUGAUUUGGAUGUGUCAAACCAAUAGUCAAUCCUAGCAAAAGACUUGAAAAAAUCUGGCAAAAUUGAUGCAUAAUUCAUCUUACAAGUUGUAUAAUUCUAAUUGGUUUGACACGAAGAUGUCUUUGAUCAGUGCAAGAUUUUGUGAUUUCACUUUCAUCGAAAGCAUCGAUUUCAACAACUUCUGGAUUUGAAUGACACUCCAUAUUGAAAACUAAAUCUUUAAAAAAAAGUGCUACAAGAAUUUUCGGGGAUAAUAAUUAUUAAUAAAGAAAGAGAAUACUGCUAAAUUCGUGGUGGCCAGGAAAACAAUGGACAUUCAUCAUAAAAUUGUUUUUUAAUAAUACAAAGAUGAACACAAUUUCUCUUGAUAAAACAAACAUUUAACCAGAAGGAUACAUCUUUUGAUCUCGAGUUAUUUUAUCAAGGAUUUUAACGAAAGGAGAAUAAAGAUGAAGCUUGAGAAUGCACAGCAUCAUUUUAUCAAAGCAUUCAGAAACUAUAUACAAUCAACUUCGAUAACGAUCCACCUUUUGGGAACCACUGCACAGUUAUGCUAAGGUCUCUUGUUUGUACGAGAAAAUAACCGCUUCAUCCUCAACUUGGUUACUUGGAAUUUACACGUAGCAUGACGUGAUCGAGGACACUUUCUUUCUCUCUAAAUGUUAUUAGUUUACAAACAAAAAAAUAGUAAACUCUUUAGUAAAAUUAAUUAUCAAUAUUGAGAUUCAGCUCCGAAAUUUGAAAAAUAUGACUCAUGAAACUGGACUCUAAUGUACUUUGGAUUAUACAUUUUUUUAUUGAUAAUAUUUGAAUUAGAAUAUUUAUGGACUGUAAUAUCCUUGGAUUCGUAAUAUCUUUGAAUAAUUAUGGAUUCCUUAUUUUUUGAAUUAUUAUUACUUUUAGACUGAUAAAAUACGUAUGGAUUUAUAAUAUCAUUGGACUGGAAUAUUUUUAAAUUUGUAAUAUUUUGGAUUAUAGUAUCGUACUGGAAUGCGAUUGAAA